GUCCACGCCCUAAACGAUGCUCACUAGGUGUUGGGGAAGCGAUUCCUUGGUACCGUAGCUAACGCGUGAAGUGAGCCGCCUGGGGAGUACGGCCGCAAGGUUAAAACUCAAAGGAAUUGACGGGGACCCGCACAAGCGGUGGAUGAUGUGGAUUAAUUCGAUGCAACGCGAACAACCUUACCUACCCUUGACAUGUCUGGAAGGCUGCUGAAAGGUGGCUGUGCCCGAAAGGGACCGGAACACAGGUGCUGCAUGGCUGUCGU
rnacentral:rRNA from 1 species